UAGUAAAAUGCCUGAUUAAAGGGCUAUCUUGAUAGGAUAAAAUAUGUAUUAUUAUACUUUUACUAA
rnacentral:tRNA from 1 species